GCAGCGAGAACUGACCGUUGGCGAGAGCGACGGAAGCCUUGCCGUUCUGAUUGCCGCCCACGUAAUUCGCUGAACGAAUUGUGGUGCAUCAUAAGAAGAAUAACUGUAAGUCGAAGGCGGUGAUAGCGAUGGUCCAGAAUGUCUUGAACGCGGUGCGCAAUCAUCUUUUCCGCUCGCAAUUAACGUUGGACGAUCGCCGGGACGGCGAAGAAGAAGAAGCUGCGGAAGAGUAACGGCGGAUCAUCAGCUUUGCUGGCACGGGACCAUAUAUCCAGAUGUAGUCUUGCCUUGAGAACCACAAGUUUUGACGCUGAUGUCGAUUGAUUCCAAUACGAUCGUGAUACGAACCGCCGGUCACUGAAGAAUAAUCAGGAUGUCCGAUAGGAUGCAAGGAUUACCGAAGAAUCCCCCGUCGUCCUAACGAAGCGUGUUUCGAAUUGAGCUGACAUAUCGUCGCUCGUUAUCGAUGUCGAGUAGACAUCGUUUCUGGGUAAUAGUAAACCUAUUAAAAAUUGGUAAGCGCUCCAAAAGGUUAAUUCGAAACCUUGAAUUUAAACAAAUUGUACUCCAUGGAGCUGAAAAAGGUAUUUAUUACUUUUUCAACUACAAUAUACAAACGUUAAUACAUUGGAAAGUGCGUGUGCAUUUAUCCAACAAAUAA